GGGGCAAGGCGGCAAUAUGUUUCGAACCUGGUCAGGUCUGGAAGGAAGCAGCCAUAAGAGACCGCUGAUGCGCGCUUUGUUCC
rnacentral:SRP_RNA from 1 species